UACGUAGGGUGCAAGCGUUGUCCGGAAUUACUGGGCGUAAAGGGCUCGUAGGCGGCCAACUAAGUCGGACGUAAAAUCCCUCAGCUUAACUGGGGAACUGCGUCCGAUACUGGAUGGCUUGGAUUUGGGAGAGGGAUGCGGAAUUCCAGGUGUAGCGGUGAAAUGCGUAGAUAUCUGGAGGAACACCGGUGGCGAAGGCGGCAUCCUGGACCGGUAUUGACACUGAGGAGCGAAAGCCAGGGGAGCAAACGGG
rnacentral:rRNA from 1 species